AUUGAACGCUGGCGGCAGGCUUAACACAUGCAAGUCGAGCGGAGAGAGGUAGCUUGCUACUGAUCUUAGCGGCGGACGGGUGAGUAAUGCUUAGGAAUCUGCCUAUUAGUGGGGGACAACAUUUCGAAAGGAAUGCUAAUACCGCAUACGUCCUACGGGAGAAAGCAGGGGAUCUUCGGACCUUGCGCUAAUAGAGGAGCCUAAGUCGGAUUAGCUAGUUGGUGGGGUAAAGGACUACCAAGGCGACGAUCUGUAGCGGGUCUGAGAGGAUGAUCCGCCACACUGGGACUGAGACACGGCCCAGACUCCUACGGGAGGCAGCAGUGGGGAAUAUUGGACAAUGGGCGGAAGCCUGAUCCAGCCAUGCCGCGUGUGUGAAGAAGGCCUUAUGGUUGUAAAGCACUUUAAGCGAGGAGGAGGCUACUUUAGUUAAUACCUAGAGAUAGCGGACGUUACUCGCAGAAUAAGCACCGGCUAACUCUGUGCCAGCCGCCGCGGUAACAC
rnacentral:rRNA from 1 species